rnacentral:tRNA from 1 species
GGGGAUGUGGCUCAGCGGUAGAGCACUCGCCUUCAUGUGUGCGGCCCUGGGUUCGAUCCUCAGCACCACA